rnacentral:rRNA from 1 species
AGCGGCGGAUGGGUGAGUAACACGUGGGGAACCUGCCCCUAAGUCUGGGAUACCAUUUGGAAACAGGUGCUAAUACCGGAUAAUAAAGCAGAUCGCAUGAUCAGCUUUUGAAAGGCGGCGUAAGCUGUCGCUAAGGGAUGGCCCCGCGGUGCAUUAGCUAGUUGGUAAGGUAACGGCUUACCAAGGCGACGAUGCAUAGCCGAGUUGAGAGACUGAUCGGCCACAUUGGGACUGAGACGCGGCCCAAACUCCUACGGGAGGCAGCAGUAGGGAAUCUUCCACAAUGGACGCAAGUCUGAUGGAGCAACGCCGCGUGAGUGAAGAAGGUUUUCGGAUCGUAAAGCUCUGUUGUUGGUGAAGAAGGAUAGAGGUAGUAACUGGCCUUUAUUUGACGGUAAUCAACCAGAAAGUCACGGCUAACUACGUGCCAGCAGCCGCGGUAAUACGUAGGUGGCAAGCGUUGUCCGGAUUUAUUGGGCGUAAAGCGAGCGCAGGCGGAAAAAUAAGUCUAAUGUGAAAGCCCUCGGCUUAACCGAGGAACUGCAUCGGAAACUGUUUUUCUUGAGUGCAGAAGAGGAGAGUGGAACUCCAUGUGUAGCGGCGGAAUGCGUAGAUAUAUGGAGGAACACCAGUGGCGAAGGCGGCUCUCUGGUCUGCAACUGACGCUGAGGCUCGAAAGCAUGGGUAGCGAACAGGAUUAGAUACCCUGGUAGUCCAUGCCGUAAACGAUGAGUGCUAAGUGU